AGACUGAAGAGCGGCGGCAAGAAAGGAGUUGGUCUCCGCAAACCGCCAGAAGUCAAGACUCCUCUCCUAGCUGUUGGUGGGGGAUUCUAUGCUGUCCAACCAAGUUCUCUGUCAGUUUUGACAACUUUGAACCUAAGAAAGGAUGUUGAAUGAGGAAGGUCAAUCACUGAAAAGCAACAUUCAACUAAUCAGAAACCACAGAUAUGAAAUAGGAAGAUUUUGGAUAAAUCAUUAUCAAGGAAGCUAA
rnacentral:lncRNA from 1 species